rnacentral:rRNA from 1 species
CCUACGGGAGGCAGCAGUGAGGAAUAUUGGUCAAUGGACGAGAGUCUGAACCAGCCAAGUAGCGUGAAGGAUGACUGCCCUAUGGGUUGUAAACUUCUUUUAUAUGGGAAUAAAAUAUUCCACGUAUGCGCUUUUGUAUGUACCAUAUGAAUAAGGAUCGGCUAACUCCGUGCCAGCAGCCGCGGUAAUACGGAGGAUCCGAGCGUUAUCCGGAUUUAUUGGGUUUAAAGGGAGCGUAGGUGGAUUGUUAAGUCAGGUGUGAAAGUUUGAGGCUCAACCGUAAAAGUGCAGUUGAAACUGGCAGUCUUGAGUACAGUAGAGGUGGGCGGAAUGCGUGGUGUAGCGGUGAAAUGCUUAGAUAUCACGAAGAACUCCGAUUGCGAAGGCAGCUCACUGGAGUGCAACUGACACUGAGGCUCGAAAGUGUGGGUAUCAAACAGGAUUAGAUACCCUGGUAGUC